UUCUGCUGAGCCUUGUGUCACAGUCAGUCCGCGGCGCGACACGCCUCAGUAUUUACUUCUCCGCCUGCCAGCCGGCGGGGAAGGGGAGUACCCGGCCACCCCUCACUUUAGCUCCUGCAGCUUUCCAAACAAACCAGGGCGGGAUGGGAGUGUCUUCUUGGCUGUGGAAAUCGAUCCUCCUACCUUGUCCUGAAGCCACCCGCCGCCUUUCCUCGUCCCUCCCUUCGCGGUGAUUUUCCAGUCUCAGCGCCCGGCGAGGGCGCGCGGCUGGUGUCCGCCCCGCCCGAAAGCAUUUGCAAGUGAGGAAGCAGCACAACCCCGGGUCUUAGAUAAUUUCUAACAGAGAGGCCCCAGCAAUUCAGCAGGCAGCGUCCUGAGUCUUUGGCAGCGUGGUCCCUCUUUAGCAAAUUCUCCACCUUUGCGAACAGAGGGUCUUUAGGACACAGAUUCUUAAAAGUGCAGGUGAGCCAGCCAUGAGAGGGUAUCUUGUGGCCAUAUUCCUGAGUGCUAUCUUCCUCUAUUAUGUACUGCAUUGUAUAUUAUGGGGAACGAAUGUCUAUUGGGUGGCACCUGUGGAAAUGAAACGGAGAAAUAAGAUCCAGCCUUGUUUAUCAAAGCCAGCUUUUGCCUCUCUGCUGAGGUUUCAUCAGUUUCACCCUUUUCUGUGUGCAGCUGAUUUUAGAAAGAUUGCUUCCUUGUAUGGUAGCGAUAAGUUUGAUUUGCCCUAUGGGAUGAGAACAUCAGCGGAAUAUUUUCGACUUGCUCUUUCAAAACUGCAGAGUUGUGAUCUCUUUGAUGAGUUUGACAACAUACCCUGUAAAAAGUGUGUGGUGGUUGGUAAUGGAGGAGUUUUGAAGAAUAAGACAUUAGGAGAAAAAAUCGACUCCUAUGAUGUAAUAAUAAGAAUGAAUAAUGGUCCUGUUUUAGGACAUGAAGAAGAAGUUGGGAGAAGGACAACCUUCCGACUUUUUUAUCCAGAAUCUGUUUUUUCAGAUCCCAUUCACAAUGACCCUAACACGACAGUGAUUCUCACUGCUUUUAAGCCACAUGAUUUAAGGUGGCUGUUGGAAUUGUUGAUGGGUGACAAAAUAAACACUAAUGGUUUUUGGAAGAAACCAGCCUUAAACCUGAUUUAUAAACCUUAUCAAAUCCGAAUAUUAGAUCCUUUCAUUAUCAGAACAGCAGCUUAUGAACUGCUUCAUUUUCCAAAAGUGUUUCCCAAAAAUCAGAAACCUAAACACCCAACAACAGGAAUUAUUGCCAUCACAUUGGCAUUUUACAUAUGUCACGAAGUUCACCUAGCUGGUUUUAAAUACAACUUUUCUGACCUCAAGAGUCCUUUGCACUACUAUGGGAAUGCCACCAUGUCUUUGAUGAAUAAGAACGCGUAUCACAAUGUGACUGCAGAGCAGCUCUUUUUGAAGGACAUUAUAGAAAAAAACCUUGUAAUCAACUUGACUCAAGAUUGACUCUACAGACUCGGAAGAUGAUGCUAACAAUGGGAGGGACAUCCCUCUGAUGGAAAUGAGAUGCAAAGACCAUGUGAGUUACCUGCCCGGUCCCAGUAAGGGAUCCUAAUUCCGGAAGGAAAUUAUUUAAGGACUCUUUUAGCCUUGAGGUUCUAAGAUGCAAUCAGAUUUUAAGAUGAGCAACACUUUUCAGUGACUGAUCUCCGUUCAGGCAUGUGGUCUGGGAUUCUGCCUAAGUACAUGCCUUCUGACAACUGGUUGAAAAGGUGAACAUAUAAGGAACAUAUACUAACAAACAUAUAACAGAGUAGAAAUCUGGGAACAAAGGCUCUCCAUCAUCCGGUGAAUUGUAAAAAGCUUCAUAAAAAUAAGAAAUUAUGAGGUCCCUUUUAGAUUUUCUUAAUAAAGUGUCUGAACAAUUCAAUUAAAAAUGCAGUGACAAAAAUCAGAAAAGUACUCACCGUUACAAUCACCAAAAGGAACCUAGAACCACUGAGAAUUUUCUGAAGUCAGAAGAGUAAGGCCAAUAACACUACCUAAAAUAACCGCAAGAGGGUAGUGUAAGAUGUUCUUAACUUCUACAUCUCUUUUAUACAGGAGAGCUCUGUGACUUUUGGCAACCGCCCAUUUUAAAAAUGUUUUCUAAAAAUACCUUGGUAAUCAUUUUACCUUAUCUUGCUCCACACCAGGCUCUCUGUACACAGUCCAUUUCUGCCCAUCAUCACUGUACAGGAUUCUGUAGGCAGACACAUAGUAAUUGUGUUCCACCAUGGUGGAUCCAGUGGUUAUAAUGCCUGGGGAAUGAAGAGUUGCUUUCAUUAAUGCACAUGGUCUGAUUCUCUAAGUUUGUUCAGCAUCAAAGUAUAAACACUUGAAAUGCACAGCUCAAACAUUUCUAAUUAUGGCUCAUUUCCAUAUCCAAGUGCACGUUUUCAUCAUAACAAUUACUAAAUCCUUGGCCUUAUUCCCUUGGAGAGAUAGGAAGAAUUAUGGGUGUGCAUUAAGUAAAGAACUGUUCUAUUUUGGUGUCUUGUGUUUAUAAUGUCGUAAAAUAGAUUGUGACUACUGGGUAAGAUGAUUCCUGGGAAUGAACAGAUUAAAGAUGAUUAUUGGCAUUAUUUACAGUACCAAAACAAAAUAAAUAUUUUAACAAAAUUAAACCAAUCCCAACCAAUUAUUCUGACCAUUUGCUAAGUUCCCCUAAAUUAAAUUUAUACUCUGCACAUGUGGAAAAUUGAUGAUCUCAUCAUUUAAAAUGGACUCCUUUAACAAAUUUUUCUUAAUGACUGUAAGAGAUUGUUAUUUUAGAUGUCUCAAGACCACUUUACUGAAACACUACCUUAAAAAAGAGUGUCAGUACAAUGGAAACAAAAAGCCAUUACGAAUUAAAUACCGUGAUGGUUAAUACUGAGUGUCAACUUGAUUGAAGGAUGAAAAGUAUUGUUCCCGGGUAUGUCUGUGAGGGUGUUGCUAGGGGAGAUUAACAUUUGAGUCAGUCGACUGGGAAAGGCAAACCCACCCUCAAUCUGGGUCAGCACCAUUUAAUCAGCAUCAGCACCGCCAGAAUAAAAACAGGCAGAAGAACGUGAAAAGACUAAACUGGCUUAAGUCUCCCAGUUUACAUCUUUCUCCCAUGCUGGAUGCUUCCUGCCCUUGAACAUCACCCUCCCAAGUUCUCAGCUUUGGGACUUUUGGACCUUUGACUAUAGAAUGAAAGCUGCACUGUUGGCUUCCCUAUGAGGUUUUGGGACUCCGAAUGGCUUCCUUGCUUCUCAGCUUGCAGAUGGCCUACUGUGGGACUUUACUUGGUGAUCAUGUGAGUCAAUACACCUUAAUGAACUCCCUUUUAUAUAUACAUCUGUCCUAUCUGUUGUGUCCCUUUAGAGAACCCUGACCAACACAAAUAACUCCUUUUCUCUGCCACGUUUCAUUAAAUGUGUCUCCAGUAAUAUUAACAUCAGUGAAGAACACAUAAAACCAUAUAAUUAAAAUUUUAAUGCCUUAAUUUUCUCUGAAAAUCUUAGAUGUUACCAGUUUUUCAAAUAAAAUAAGUGUUACAAAUUGCUCUAGAAAAUUUUAUCUCUUAACCUGUUAUUUUCUUCUCCUUAUUCAAAUCUAUUUGUAACCACUGGUAUUCAUCAGUGGCAAAAGCAGCCCAAGGCGGUCCAGGUUUUUUCAGCCUGGCUUUUUCGGGUUUCCAACUGUUCUCUUGCCCCGUGUGGUCAGUCCACUCCAGCACAGAUGAUGCUGUUAUUUGAGGAUCCGCGAUCACACCAGACUCCAUCCCCAGUGUUCCAUAACAACCUGAAACAAAGAAAAGACUAAAUUUGGUUUCCAGGUAUAAUUUCAAAAUGCAUGUAGACCUGCUCACUGAAAACUUUCUAUUCCAUCUUUAAUUAACAUACACUAUGCUGAUAAUACACUGUAACAGAGAAAUUUCAAAACUAGGCAAGUGUUUCUUGGGCAUAUGUCUUUGUGUAUCAUUAGGAAACCUAUAAACAUGCUCAUUUACAAGUAUGACUGUUAAUUUAAUGGAGAUACAUUAUCUUCUCCCUGGGACACUCUUCCCAAAUAACUGAGUAACUCACUCCUUUACCUCCUUCAGGUUUUUGGCCUAUGUUACAUUCUCCCGGAGGCCUUCCCUGGGAGGAAGGCCCUUCCCAACUUCGGUCCAGUUCUACUUCUUUAUUUUCCUACAUCUUUAUCAUAUUGUAAACAGUAUAUUAUUUAUAAACAAUAAUUUAUUCAUUGCUUAUCAUCAAUCUCUCACUACUAGAAUGUAAUCUCCAGGACGGCAGGAUCUUGUUCACUUUAAUGCUGCUCUAUCACUCGAACCAGAGCAAUGCCUGGCACAUAAAGAAGGUGCUCAAAGAAAUCAAUAUCUCAUGGAAGAAGUCUCAGUGUACACUCCUGCCUUUAGUCCAACAUGCAAACCAUUACAAGAGGAUGCAAUUUUUCCCUGUUUUCUUUUUUAAAGCCUGAAAGACAGAAUUCACACACACUAAAUCUUUCUAACGGUAUAACAUGGUAAAGGAAUGAAAGGGUCUGCACAAAAUAAUCUAGAAAAAAAAAAAGGGAAGGUAGUUGAGUCUAUACCAGGGAUGGGCAAAUGACUGCCCAUGCAUGGCCUGUUUUGUAUGAGCAGUGAGCUAAGAAUAGAAUAGUUAAAGAGCUGUAAAUAAAACAAAAAAAGAAUACGAUGCAGAGACAUGUGGCCUGUAAAGCCUAAAAUAUUUAUUAGCUGGAUUUUUACAGAACAAGUUUGCUGAAUCCUGUUGUAUAGCAAUCUGGAUAUGGAUGAUACUCGAGUCUUCUGAAUGAAAAUUGGCCUAGGAUCUCUGAAGAAAAGCUGGUUUCAAUUAGGCUUAAUGUUAUCUGAAAGACUGAGCAUAUCUAAGAGACAAGAUUUAUAAAAACAGAUUGCUAACACUGCAUUUCUAUUUAAUGUUUCAACUUGUCCUGCUUUUGAUGCCUACUCUAUGUUUUGUAAAACAGUAGAACACUAUAGAUACCAUGAAAAUACAUCCUUAAAAUAUUCUCUUAGAAUGAAAGGAAGAUUCACAAUAAUGCGUAUGAUGUAAUACUUUAUGUCAAAUUUAAAUUUAUAUUUAAAGUAUUUCGAUUAUCUUGAAUCCCCAUGUGCUAUAAGGAACACAGUAGUUAAGCCUUUCAAUCUGUAAAAUAAAUAACGAUCUCGCAACAAA